UUGUUCCCCUUCCUUUACUUCAUCCUCUGCUCUUUUCACUUAAACACACACUGUUCAAAACAAAACAAAAACAACUGGGACGAUGUUGUUUCAGACACACAACAACCCACCCAUCAUAUCAUGUUUAAGAUCUUCAUCAUAAACACAAUCUUAGUAACAUCAUCACCAUCGAUUCUUCAACCUGAGUUUUACUGAAAAACAUCCAAAAGUUGAAACUACUGUUAGAGAUUUCAUGAAAAAAACACUUCUUAAAGAACCCACAACUGUCGCCUCCCUUAUGAGCUUUCA
rnacentral:lncRNA from 1 species